rnacentral:rRNA from 1 species
UACGGAGGAUCCGAGCGUUAUCCGGAUUUAUUGGGUUUAAAGGGAGCGUAGGUGGAUUGUUAAGUCAGUUGUGAAAGUUUGCGGCUCAACCGUAAAAUUGCAGUUGAAACUGGCAGUCUUGAGUACAGUAGAGGUGGGCGGAAUCCGUGGUGUAGCGGUGAAAUGCGUAGAUAUUAGGAGGAACACCAGUGGCGAAGGCGGCUUACUGGACGACUACUGACGCUGAGGCUCGAAAGCGUGGGGAGCAAACAGG